CCUACGGGUGGCAGCAGUGGGGAAUAUUGGACAAUGGGCGAAAGCCUGAUCCAGCCAUGCCGCGUGUGUGAAGAAGGCCUUCGGGUUGUAAAGCACUUUCAGUGGGGAAGAAAGCCUUGGGGCUAAUACCCUCGAGGAAGGACAUCACCCACAGAAGAAGCACCGGCUAACUCCGUGCCAGCAGCCGCGGUAAUACGGAGGGUGCGAGCGUUAAUCGGAAUUACUGGGCGUAAAGCGCGCGUAGGCGGUCUGAUAAGCCGGUUGUGAAAGCCCCGGGCUCAACCUGGGAACGGCAUCCGGAACUGUCAGGCUAGAGUGCAGGAGAGGAAGGUAGAAUUCCCGGUGUAGCGGUGAAAUGCGUAGAGAUCGGGAGGAAUACCAGUGGCGAAGGCGGCCUUCUGGACUGACACUGACGCUGAGGUGCGAAAGCGUGGGUAGCAAACAGGAUUAGAUACCCCUGAAGUC
rnacentral:rRNA from 1 species